GUUUGGCUUUGCAGAUGAUCUCCUUCUUUUUGGCAAAGUGACUUCAGAAGAACUUCAUGGUUUUAUGGCUGUUUUAGAAGAUUACUGCUCCAAAUAUGGGCAACUCAUCAUUCUUAAUAAAAUCAGAGUUCAAUACAGUCCUAAUGCCAUCUCAAACAUAAGAAGAAUGUUCUCUGAUCGGAGGAAAGAUCACCAAGACUAACAGUGAAGCAGUCAUGCAAAGAGUCAAUCCCAAGCUUCAACAUUGGGAGAGCAAAUUUUUAAGCUACGCUGGUGAACACUCUCUCAUUCACGCAGUCCUCUCCGCAUUGCCAGUCCAUCAUUAUAUGUCAUGCUUUAGACUCCCAAUUUCUAUUCUAAAGACUCUUGAUAGAGCAAGUUGCCGUUUCUUUUGGUCCAAUGACGAAUUUAAACAUAUUCCAACCAUCAGCUGGAAAACCAUCUGUCAAGAAAAAAGAAAUGGUGGUCUGAAUCUGAAAAUGUCUCUUUUUAUAAAUGAAGCUUUAUUGGCUAAAAGAUGCUGGUCUCUCCUGAAUCCCACUGUUUUCUUUUUGGGGGAGCAAAAUACUUCCCUUCUACCAAGUUCUUAGUUGCUCAAUGCUUAUCAAGGCGAUUCUUGGGGAUGGAAAUCCAUCACUGGGGUAAGAGACCUCCUAAAUAAAAAAAUCUAUUCAUUACAAGUGGGGGAUGGGUGCAGUAUUAAUCCAUGGUCUGAUUUUUAGAUACCUAAUCACUUAAUCCAUGGUCUGAUUUUUAGAUACCUAAUCACUCCCCCUCCUCAGCACCAUACCCUACUUAACCUGAUCCUCCUUCUCUUGUCUCUGACCUCAUUAACCCGAGGACUAGAUCCUAGAAUUUUGAGUUGAUUCUUCAAUGGUGACCACUUGAUGUAGCUCUCAAAAUAUUAUUUAUUCCAUUGUCCAUUCUACGACACGAAACAGGUUCCUUUGGCUUGGUUAAUUCUUUGUUUCAUUUGCAUAUCGCUUUGCUCUUGAUCCUUCUUAAACCAAGUUCAUUUUGCUUGGCAAAAAAAUUGGCAUUGCACUUCCAUCCCCAAAGCUCAGUUUCUAGCUUGGAAUUACUUAACGGAAAACUCCUUAUUCCAGUGAUCCUCAAUGCUAGAGGUCUCUCUCUCCCCAACAUCGGUUCCCACUGUCAUCAAACUGAAAGUUCCAUCGAUCACAUCUUCCUCCAAUGCGAUCUUCCUUCUCUAGUGUGGCAUUCUUCUGGAUUUGAAAAUGUCCUCGGAUGUAACAAUUUUCUCAUGAUUUAUCUCAAUAUAUUUCUGGAAGCGGAAACAUAGCAAGUGAAAAUGGUGUCCUUCACAUUCAUCUGAUUUUGGAUCCUAUGGCUUGUAUAUAAUGACUCCAUCUUCAACAACAACACCAGAUCAAUGAUCCAAUUUUUCAGAGAACUGUCACAAUCUCUUUGUAGCUUCCAAAACUCGCCACGUCAAAGGACUAUCUGGGUGUCUUGGAGUCCCGCACCUCAUGUAUUAAUCAAAAUCAAUCUUGAUUGUGCCUUCACCUUCUGUUUCUCUCAAGGCAUCGGGUUUGUGACAUCUGAUAUUGCUGAAGCUUCUGCGGUACUUCAAGGAAUGAAAUCUGCUCUCCAAUUAGGAUUUCUCCAUGUUAUGAUUUGAAAGUGAUAAUAUGAUUAUAAAUAUUCUCAAGAAGAGGACCACCAAUACCAUGGAGAAUAUUGCCUAUCAUCUUGGAUUGUUGGGAACUACAUCUUCAAUUCUAGACAAUUGAAUACAACCACUCUUUACGAGAAGGCAAUGGUAAACUUGCUUAGUGGGGAGCUACGCAUCAGCACAAUAUAGAAUGGACCACUUGUCCUCCUGCAUGUAUUUCUCAUCUUCUUUUUCAAGACUGUAGUGGAACUUUUCUCUCCUAUUUCUAUAAAUAAAAUCUCUGUGUUUUGGAAAAAAGAAAGACAAAAAUAAACAAAAAGGGCAAACUGUGACAAUAAACUGACACCAGCAGACAUCUACAGCUUUUUUCAACUUUGGCUUCUCUUGGUAGCUUCUUCCCUACAACACCAUUUCUAAGCAUUUUACAACUCAAUUGACAGUUAGAAGUUAAGAGGAACCCAAGAGAAGGCGUGGGCAUGCGGAUGCCGUCGUUCUUUACUGGUCAGUUGUGGAAAUGCUAACAAGAACUUGGAUUUGGUGGGGAUGUUGAAGGUUGUUUCAGAGAUUUUCGGUCGGUGGUGAUCUGUUUCUUCGGUUGAAACUAUGAAGUCAGUAACAUCUGUUUAGGCGGUAUCUUAGAGGGAGUGUAUCGGGGAAAGACUUGCCGCUUGCUGUUGCGGUUGUCGCUUCCUUCUUGUGUUCUUUGGCCUUCCUUCUGAGAUGAAUUCUUGGUCGUGCGAGCAUCGUCUUCGCUGAAGUGAUGGCGUCUUCUCGGGGCGAGUAGCUGUGUCUCUCAUUUACAUCCUCUAAGCCUUAAUGCUGGUUGUUGACAAGUUAAAUCAUGCAGUUCUCUCAGAUCAAACAUCCGGCUCAUUCUCUCCGGCAUAAGUAUCUACUGCCCGAUACUCUUUAUUUUUCGAUCAUCGAAAAUCAGAAUUUUAUGGUCCUUCUCAUUGACCAGGACUUGAUAACUCUGAAACUAUUUACUUGUGGAGAAGGCGUAUCAUCGAAGUGUACACACUGCUGCAGAGCUAAAGGACAUGGAAGCUCCAAUGAACAACUCUGAGGCUGUGGUGACUGGCCGGAAGCAGUCACUGGAGAAGCCAUGAUACUCUUAUCGCUUAACUAUCGAGGGAUUAGUCGUCCCUCGACGAAGCGGGAGCUCUGCUAUUUGGUGAAGAAUAAUAGACCUUUAGUGUGUUUUCUCUCUAAAACUAAGACAUCUAACCAGCACCUCCAUCGUUUUUGUCACUCUCUCCUUCAAUCAUUUUCUGUGCUCUCAUGUAACCCAAAAUGUUGGUGGUCUUCUUUUGAUGUGGGCUGAUAGUAUCCAGGUGAAAGCUGUUUGGCAAGGCCCUUGGUGUUUUCAUACAGAAAUAGCUUUCCCCAAUUUAAAUCUACAUUGGAAUGUGUCUUUUGUCUAUCUCAGUUGCUUGGAAAAUGUUAAAUCUUUACAAUGGCCUUCCCUUUUGCA